GGAGUUGUAGUCCCAAAACAUCUGGAGGGCCGAGCUUGCCUAUGCCUGGGCUAGAGUGUGGUGCUGAUAAUGCCAAGGUUGCAGGUUCGAUCCCUGCAUAUUCCU